rnacentral:rRNA from 1 species
AGGGUUUGAUCCUGGCUCAGAACGUACGCUGGCGGCACGCCUAAUACAUGCAAGUCGAACGAAGUAGCAAUACUUAGUGGCAGACGGGUGAGUAACAUGUGGGUAUCUUCCCUUUGGUGAGGAAUAACACGAGGAAACUUGUGCUAAUACCUCAUAAGUCUUUACAGAGAAAGCUUUAUGCGCCAAUGGAUGAGCCCGCACUUGAUUAGUUUGUUGGUGAGGUAAUGGCUCACCAAGACUUUGAUCAAUAGCUGAUUUGAGAGGAUGAUCAGCCACAUUGGGACUGAGACACGGCCCAAACUCCUACGGGAGGCAGCAGUAGGGAAUCUUGCACAAUGGGGGAAACCCUGAUGCAGCGAUGCCGCGUGAGUGAAGAAGGCCUUUGGGUUGUAAAGCUCUUUCGUCGGGGAAGAAAAUGACUGUACCCGAAUAAGAAGGUCCGGCUAACUUCGUGCCAGCAGCCGCGGUAAUACGAAGGGACCUAGCGUAGUUCGGAAUUACUGGGCUUAAAGAGUUCGUAGGUUGUUAAAAAAGUUGGUGGUGAAAUCCCAGAGCUUAACUCUGGAACUGCCAUCAAAACUUUUUAGCUAGAGUUUGAUAGAGGAAAGCAGAAUUUCUAGUGUAGAGGUGAAAUUCGUAGAUAUUAGAAAGAAUACCAAUUGCGAAGGCAGCUUUCUGGAUCAUUACUGACACUGAGGAACGAAAGCAUGGGUAGCGAAGAGGAUUAGAUACCCUCGUAGUCCAUGCCGUAAACGAUGUGUGUUAGACGUUGGAAAUUUAUUUUCAGUGUCGCAGCGAAAGCAAUAAACACACCGCCUGGGGAGUACGACCGCAAGGUUAAAACUCAAUGAAUUGACGGGGACACGCACAAGUAGUGGAGCAUGUGGUUUAAUUCGAAGAUACGCGCAGAACCUUACCAACACUUGACAUGUUCGUCGCGACUUUAAGAGAUUAAAGUUUUCGGUUCGGCCGGACGAAACACAGGUGCUGCAUGGCUGUCGUCAGCUCGUGUCGUGAGAUGUUGGGUUAAGUCCCGCAACGAGCGCAACCCUCACUUUUAGUUGCCAUCAUUUAGUUGGGCACUCUGAAAGAACUGCCAGUGAUAAGCUGGAGGAAGGUGGGGAUGACGUCAAGUCCUCAUGGCCCUUACGUGUUGGGCUACACACGUGCUACAAUGGUAUCUACAACAGGAAGCAAAACGGCGACGUUAAGCAAAUCCUUAAAAGAUACCUCAGUUCGGAUUGCACUCUGCAACUCGAGUGCAUGAAGCUGGAAUUACUAGUAAUCGUGGAUCAGCGUGCCACGGUGAAUGCGUUCCCGGGUCUUGUACACACCGCCCGUCACACCAUGGGAGUUGGUUCUACCUUAAGGCAAGGUUUAAAAUCCUUGACCACGGUAUAGUCAGCGACUGGGGUGAAGUCGUAACAAGGUAGCCGUA